GACGAACGCUGGCGGCGUGCCUAACACAUGCAAGUCGAACGAAGCACUGGAAUUGAUUUCUUCGGAAUGAUUUUUCUUUGACUGAGUGGCGGACGGGUGAGUAACACGUGAGCAACCUGCCUUUCAGAGCGGGAUAGCAGUUGGAAACGACUGAUAAUACCGCAUGACAUGUCUCUUCCGCAUGAGAGAGACAUCAAAUGAUUUUUCGCUGAAAGAUGGGCUCGCGUCCGAUUAGGUAGUUGGUGAGGCA
rnacentral:rRNA from 1 species